AACGAACGCUGGCGGCAGGCCUAACACAUGCAAGUCGAACGCGCGUAGCAAUACGCGAGUGGCGCACGGGUGAGUAACACGUGGGAAUCAACCCAGAGGUUCGGAAUAACCGCGGGAAAUUGCGGCUAAUACCGGAUAUCCCCUACGGGGGAAAGAUUUAUCGCCUUUGGACGAGCCCGCGUCCGAUUAGCUAGUUGGUGAGGUAACGGCUCACCAAGGCUCCGACCGGUAGCUGGUCUGAGAGGACGACCAGCCACACUGGAAUUGAGACACGGUCCAGACUCCUACGGGAGGCAGCAGUGGGGAAUAUUGGGCAAUGGAGGCAACUCUGACCCAGCCAUGCCGCGUGGGUGACGAAGGUCUUCGGAUUGUAAAGCCCUUUCGGCGGGGACGAUGAUGACGGUACCCGCAGAAGAAGCCCCGGCUAACUUCGUGCCAGCAGCCGCGGUAAAAC
rnacentral:rRNA from 1 species